rnacentral:rRNA from 1 species
AACGAACGCUUGCGGCGCGCCUAAUACAUGCAAGUCGAACGAGGUAGCAAUACCAAGUGGCGCACGGGUGAGUAACACGUGGAUAAUGUGCCAUUCAGUGGGGAAUAACCAACCGAAAGGUUGGCUAAUACCGCAUGAGACCACAGUCCCUGAGGGGACAGAGGUUAAAGAUUUAUCGCUGAAUGAUCAGUCUGCGUAAGAUUAGCUAGUUGGUGAGGUAACGGCUCACCAAGGCAACGAUCUUUAGGUGGUCUGAGAGGAUGACCACCACACUGGGACUGAGACACGGUCCAGACACCUACGGGUGGCAGCAGUCGAGAAUUUUUCUCAAUGGGGGAAACCCUGAAGGAGCGACGCCGCGUGAGGGAUGAAGGGCUUUCGGCCCGUAAACCUCUGUCAUUUGCGAAACAAGUGUCAUGGUUGAACAUUCCAUGUAUUUGAUUGUAGCGAAAGAGGAAGGGACGGCUAACUCUGUGCCAGCAGCCGC